UAGGUGUGUGUGUCGGGAUCGAACUAAAGGGGAGAAACAAGGGGAAGCCCUUGUUUUCAAAGAACCCAAGAAAUUGAAGGGGAAUCUCAUUGCAAAUCAAGUGCAUGAAGUCAAAUUCUGUAUAAUCUAAGCUUUCUAAACAAACGCGAUAAAGGAAGAAAGUUCAAGUCACACGAAGCAAGAAGGAAAUCACGACCGAGAUGAGAAUGGACGAAAUCUUGGUGUGAUAAAACUAGUAAAGUUAGUGAAAAGAUGCACACGAGUGGAAGCUCAUCACAUGGAUGGACGAGGUCAAUCUAGUUUUUGACACUUGCUCAUGAAGGGGCGGGCUGAACCAGGAUACGGAUCGUUGUUUAUGAAAAUAAUAAGGUUAGUAAAGUAUUUGACUUGUGAAUGAUAAAUAGAAAGUUAUAGACGGAAUAAUGUUUCUAUACGAACUAAAAUGAAAUAUUUAAUAUGGUCAUACAGUUGAUCCGGUAGAAGCGGGUCAACGAACUAGAAUGAAAUGCUUAAUAUGGUCAUACAAUUGAUCCGGUACGAACCGGUCAAAGAAUAAGAAUGUUAUGUUUAGAAUGAA